rnacentral:rRNA from 1 species
UACAGAGGUCCCAAGCGUUGUUCGGAUUCAUUGGGCGUAAAGGGUGCGUAGGCGGCGCGGUAAGUCGGGUGUGAAAUCUCGGGGCUUAACUCCGAAACUGCAUUCGAUACUGCCGUGCUUGAGGACUGGAGAGGAGACUGGAAUUCCAGGUGUAGCGGUGAAAUGCGUAGAUAUCUGGGAGAACACCCGUGGCGAAGGCGGGCAUCUGGGGGACACCUGACGCUGAGGCGCGAAAGCUAGGGGAGCGAACGGG